GGGCAGAGUCCACUGUCACACGUGGAGCUGCCCAGUCAUUCCCCACCCCUACAAAGUCUGGGCUGACUAAGGGGGUGCUUAGAAGGGAACGCCUGGGGGUUGGAGGUCUCUUAGCUGCAUAUUUCCCUGUUAUCAGUGUUGAAGUUAAAUACAGAGAUGAAUCCUUGAAAUUAAAAUGUUUUAUUUGGGGAAAGGAGUGUAAUUUGUGGGUAUCUGUAGCCUGGGUGGUUUAAGAUGUCCAAAAAAUGAAGAAAGGCUGGAGGUUUUAUAAAGAGAAGAAAUAUUACUACUGCUCUGUGAGGAAGCUCAUUGGCGCUGUUGCUGUUCUUCAUAUUCAGAAUCUGAAGUUAAUUUUUUACACUCAUCUACCUCUUUCUCAUCUGAAUCUGCCUCGUCAUCUGUUUGAAAUGGCUCAAGAACUGCCUUUAUCAACACCCACACUGACCAAACAGAAACUAGAAUUCUGGCAUCUUCUGUAUGGGCCUUUAAAAAAUCUCUGCCAAUUCUUUCCCAUUCAUCUAACUCCAUUGUCCCUUGUUCUGGGAACCAUGGAUAAAACUGCUCUAUUGUACGAAAGAGUGUUAAUAAAUUCUGAGUACUGACCUUCACUCUCCCUCUCCGUAAUAAAUGCCUUGGGAAAUUUAAAUAA